rnacentral:rRNA from 1 species
AUUGAACGCUGGCGGCAUGCCUUACACAUGCAAGUCGAACGGUAACAGGUCUUCGGAUGCUGACGAGUGGCGAACGGGUGAGUAAUACAUCGGAACGUGCCCGAUCGUGGGGGAUAACGGAGCGAAAGCUUUGCUAAUACCGCAUACGAUCUACGGAUGAAAGCAGGGGACCGCAAGGCCUUGCGCGGACGGAGCGGCCGAUGGCAGAUUAGGUAGUUGGUGGGAUAAAAGCUUACCAAGCCGACGAUCUGUAGCUGGUCUGAGAGGACGACCAGCGACACUGGGACUGAGACACGGCCCAGACUCCUACGGGAGGCAGCAGUGGGGAAUUUUGGACAAUGGGCGCAAGCCUGAUCCAGCCAUGCCGCGUGCAGGAUGAAGGCCUUCGGGUUGUAAACUGCUUUUGUACGGAACGAAAAGACUCUUUCUAAUAAAGAGGGUCCAUGACGGUACCGUAAGAAUAAGCACCGGCUAACUACGUGCCAGCAGCCGCGGUAAAAC